GCGCUGCCGCCCCCGGCCCCAUCAGACGCCUGUCCCUCUGUCCGUCCUCCCCCACAGCAUGGCGCAGCGAAACUGCACAGCUGAACUGUCGAACAGGUGCUAUGAUGAAAUGGGGAAAACCAGGAUUUUCUACGGAUGCUUAAAUGCCAGAAAGUGCUGGCGGCCUGGGCACUGUGCUGUGACAGCGAGCUCUCUGAAGCAGAGGGGCUGAGGGCCGACACCGUGAGGCGGGAGGCCAGGCCCCCGGGGCGGAGUUGUGCCAUGGCCGGCGGGCACCGGCCUGUGCUUGCUGCUUGCCUUUCACUGUUUGUAAACAUGAGCCUCGAUCUGUGGUGUAAUCUGCAAACUUCAGGAGUGUGCCAUCUCAUAGCCUGACAUCUUCUCCAGUUUAUGUUGUAAGAGAUAAAGCUAUCAACCAGGAAAGAUCUGAGUACAGACCCCUGCGGUACUGCACUUGUUAUCAGCAUCCAGGUCCAAGUGGUUAUCCAAGAAAGCACCAGAGUUGGAGGAUCAGGUGGAAAGAUAAUGAUUUAU